GUGGACCGCCUAAAAAGUUUGUAUUUUCUAUGAAAUGUAACGCCAGUCAAGAUUAUUUGGCGGCAUUGUAGUUGGUACAUGUACGAGAUGGGACAACAUAAGGGCACUAAAGGAGGAGGGAAGCCCAAGCAAAAAGCAACGAAGCAGCAAAGGCUAAGUGGUAAUGACAGCGCUGGUGCCGUGGGAGAUGCGAUCAAGAACAGUGCAAAGUCACCCAAACCUACACAUAAAGGUGAUGAUGAAAAGUCUCCAAAGAAGGUCAAGUCACCUAAGACUGAACCUGUGGAGUCAGCCAACGGUCCCAGG